rnacentral:lncRNA from 1 species
GGAGAUUGAGAAAAUCAAGUUGAUUUAACAAAUGUUGCAAUGGCUUUGACGAUAUUUUGGGAUUCAUGAAGCUCUUGUGUCUUUCUCUUGACUCUUUGGUUGUCUUGUGGCAUUCAUCAAGGGGGACAUUGAGAAAUGGCUUUGAUGCAACCUAGAAUUUUUGUUUGGAGCUUGCAUGAUCCCUUCUCAUUUCAAGUGGCCUUAUGUUUUCUUUUACUUGGUUUUUGGGCACUUGAAUGAGUUCUUUUUUUGCUUUCAAAUCAUCUUCUGUCAAUGCACUUAUCAAGGAAGAGAUUGAGACACCAAGUUGAGAAGUGCCUUGAUCUAUUUGUGAUGAGUGAUUGCAAAGAUGAUUUGAGGCUUUACCGUUUGAGUCCUUAUUCCAUAUGCGCUUGAUUAUGCUAACGGCUAACCAGAGGUGUGAGUUGUGUUGUGGUGGUUGUGUAAACAUAUGUUGUGUGUUGUGUCUCUUGGCUUAAUUGUGAUGUGUAGGUGUAGGAUGCAACAUGGCGGUCGACGGCAUGAGGUGGAGGUCAAGCGAAAGGUUCAUGCCGAUGUACUAGGGCUGUAAAGGAUGGACACGAGUAGGCUUGGACUGAGGGACCCUAUGGCAGAUCCACCUCGGAUUAGCCUAAUUAAGGCACAAUUAAGUUGCCUAACAUGCGACACUCGGCCUUAGUCAUGCUAACUCGAGAUGCCGUCGGAUUUCAUCCGAUUUAACCACUUUGACAGGAC